CUGACAAUAUGGAAAUCAGGAAUGGUCUUGGGAAGAAACGUUUCACAAGACUGGCGGGUACCAAACACUCAUCUCUAGCGGAAUGAAGACAAAGCGGGAGGUGGGACAACAAAGCACCAUCUACAAUAAGUUCUUUGCCCAAAUUUUGCUUUGAAGGAGAACAGAAAAACAGCUAGGAUGCUCCCAAACAAAGGAGGGUUUGUCUGUACGCCAAUGGACCCAAUCCAGCAAGGAGAGAGAGCGGACGAUGCAGAGGGAAAGGUGGCAUUUGCAGCAGAGAGGCAGCAGGAGCAAGGUGCUUCAGAUGGUCGCAGGGAAUGGGAUCCAGAACACAAAGGUUGGGGGUGGUGGCCUUCGACAGGUGGAGUCUGGGCAGAGAUGCUUCUCGCAACGCAACAGGCGAGAAGGCAAGGCUCACAAGCACCAAUGCGGGUAGAACGGCAGGUUUGCAGGUGCAGCGACGAAGGAGUGCCUUGUGGUCGAUCUUGGUUUUCUAUAUGAAAUAUUAGAUAAAGGCACAGCUGAGAGUGGAAAGGGGAAGGGGGUGACGUGGAGGGUUUGAGGUGUGGGAAGAGGUGUGAGAUAAGGCCACUUGGCGGAAUCGGAAAAUAAACAUACCAGCGAAGAGGGACAGGGUUUCUGGGUGGUGCUGAGGGCCCACUUGAGACUUGGGAUCGGGAAUUUAAAGUGAGAGCGGUCGGUGGAAUGCGAAAGGGAGACUGGCGUGCAGUGUCUUCUCUAGCAACAUUCCGCUGUCUCAGGGCAGGACUAGAGGUGGUUUUAACCGGAGUUGGCACUGCUCGGGGAAUGGAAGACAGAGCAGGGCAGGGCAGCUACAGAAGGAUCUGUAAGGGUGGGCUAUGCAAAUUAUGGGGGAGGGGAGAGAGAAAACCAAGGGUGUUGGGAAGUGGAGAAGGUGGUAGGGACAAGACACUGAAGUCUCAGUGAAAUCGAAGGAGCGCCAGAGUGGGAGCACUAGAAGAGGUGGUAAGAACGUGAGGGGAGGGGGCGUGGACAGUGUGAGUUGCUCAUGGUAGAGACUCCACAGGUACCAACAUUAGGGGAGAUGAUGAGGUCCAGAAUAUGGCCACAGAAGUGCGAUGGGGGAAGAUCAUUGGAGGAAAUGACGUCUGGCCGUUGAGUAUUACGUCAGUCAUCCACAUGGAUGGUUUACCUGCAGGCCGAGAUUUCAAAAACCCCAACAAACAAACACACAGCACUGUGGGAUUUCAGGCAGUGACCACCUGCAUUUCAUUUUGGCAAUUAAACCCGGACUCCCUUUCAAAGAAGCUUCUAUGCAAAGUGCCGUGUUUCUAGAAUGAGGCGCGUGUUUUUUCAACCUUGAAGUCACCCUCUUGAAAAGCAGACCCAGAAACCCAAGCUUUCAGAACUUGAUUAUAGUAUCACCGUUGCUGUGGUAAUUUUACAACCAAUAGCCCCCAAAGUUACUUUAUUUAACAGAGGGCUUCAAGACCAGGCGGAAUUUCUUGGCAAUCUCACCUGCCCCUGCUGACUUGACUGUUCUACAUCUGUUUCCAUGGGAAUCUUCACCCUUAAAGUCCAGGAGAUGACCUCAGCUGCACCAAGUUGCCAAGCAGAGCCCAUCCGGAGAGGGAGGGGUGGGGGGAUUUGGACACAGGGCCCCUUGCUGGUCCCAGUACUGCUGUCUGACCCAGCAACAAUGAACCUGUUCACUAUUCAUAAACGCUGUCCAAUAAAGAGCAUGCAUCAAAACUUAAAAGCCAA